rnacentral:rRNA from 1 species
UACGGGGGGGGCGAAGCGUUGUUCGGAAUUACUGGGCGUAAAGGGCUCGUAGGUGGCCAACUAAGUCAGACGUGAAAUCCCUCGGCUUAACCGGGGGAACUGCGUCUGAUACUGGAUGGCUUGAGUUCGGGAGAGGGAUGCGGAAUUCCAGGUGUAGCGGUGAAAUGCGUAGAUAUCUGGAGGAACACCGGUGGCGAAGGCGGCAUCCUGGACCGACACUGACACUGAGGAGCGAAAGCCAGGGGAGCAAACGGG